UGCCUGCCCGUGAUUUAUUUAACGGCCGCGGUACCUAACCGUGCAAGGUAGAUAAUCAAUUGUCCCUUAAAUCGGGACUAGUAUGAACGGCAUCACGAGGGUUAAACUGUCUCCCUCCUUAAAUCAAUGAAAUUAAUUUUCCCGUGAAGAAGCGGGGAUAAAAUUAUAAGACGAAAAGACCCCAUGGAGCUUUAAGCUUAUUACCAUUUAUCUAAUUAUCUAACAUAUUAAUGAUAAAAGUGUUUAAUAGCUUUCGGUUGGGGCGACCCUGGAGAAAAAUAAAUCCUCCAGAUUGAAAAAAUAACCCUUAUAUAAGAACUACUGUUCAAAUAAACAAAAACUUGACAAAACUGACCCAGAAUUAACUGAUCAGUGGACCAAGUUACCCUGGGGAUAACAGCGCAAUCCAUUUCAAGAGCCCAUAUCGACAAAUGGGUUUACGACCUCGAUGUUGGAUCGGGGUAUCCUAGCAGCGCAGCUGUUGCUAAUGGUUCGUUUGUUCAACGAUUAACACCCCACGUGAUCUG
rnacentral:rRNA from 1 species